rnacentral:tRNA from 9 species
UUGCCGGGAUAGCUCAGUUGGUAGAGCAGAGGACUGAAAAUCCUCGUGU